GGGAAGAUGGCUCAGUGGUAGAGUGCUUGCCUUAUAUGCAUGAGGUCCUGGGUUCAAUUCCUCAACACC
rnacentral:tRNA from 1 species